UCUGUCGAAGGCACCUGCCCCAUUAAAUGCAUCAUCACCAUGCGGAUGCUCUUGUGUUGGUGGUUGUCAUGUUUUAAGUUUGGAGCCAAACCUGCCGCUGGGAUGUGCAGUCCCCACCUCUGUGAACAUCGCUGGAUUGCAGCUGAGGACCCCUCUUGGGCCUGAUCCUGUAGUGAGCUCUGUGUAGAUGGACCCCUGUAUUUUCACGGAGCGUAUUGCUGAAUCGGGGCCUUACAUUGUCCCAGCUGAGAUCGCGGGAAAACAAAUGUGGUCAGCGUGGAGGGAGCUUCCUUAGUUUAAGAAAUGAUUCCAUGGCUUUUAUUUUAAUGUAAGUGGAAACAGGAUUUGGGGUUUGAGACGUCUCUUUGCUGCAUCUGAAACCCAAACACAACUGCUCUGUGCAUGAAGCGAUGAUGGGGACAGGUCAGUUAUACAGAGCGCUAGGGAUUGCCUUGUAAGAUGGGCUGAUUUGAACCUGCAUUUUAACACAGCCAAACACAAGCAGAGGCGGCAGGUCAUGCUGACUGGAUGGGAGGCAGCAUCCUGGAGUGCAGUGAUUGAAUAGGGUGUAGGAAUAACUGAUGUUUGGGUUUGCUGGCCAUGCUGCGGGGGGGAUUGGUUUGAGUCACAAAUUCACAAAACGUUUGUUGAUCCGAAUCUGCAUCUCCUCCUCCCC